UACGGAGGGUGCAAGCGUUGUUCGGAAUUAUUGGGCGUAAAGGGCGUGUAGGCGGUUCGUUAAGUCUGAUGUGAAAGCCCCGGGCUCAACCUGGGAACUGCGUCUGAUACUGGAUGGCUUGAAUCCGGGAGAGGGAUGCAGAAUUCCAGGUGUAGCGGUGAAAUGCGUAGAUAUCUGGAGGAAUACCGGUGGCGAAGGCGGCAUCCUGGACCGGCAUUGACGCUGAGACGCGAAAGCGUGGGGAGCAAACAGG
rnacentral:rRNA from 1 species